CGGGGUUGGUUGUUAUCUUUGGUUAUCUAGCUGUAUGAGUGGUGUGGAGUCUUCAUAAAGCUAGAUAACGGAAAGUAAAAAUAACCCCA
rnacentral:miRNA from 1 species